UUGCCGUGAUGACCAUCUUAGGACACCUUUGGAACACCCAUGAAAAAAAACCAAGGAAAAUGAUGUUUCUGAGCAAC
rfam:Picoides pubescens contig26581, whole genome shotgun sequence.